AGCCAUCUAAUCAGUUCCAAAUAGGACGAAACGCGCGUCAAUCUGGAU
rnacentral:hammerhead_ribozyme from 1 species